rnacentral:ncRNA from 1 species
AUAUAAGCGUUGAUGAGUAGUAGUAGGUAUAGUGAUAGUUUAAGAGAGCUACUGGCAGGUGUAAAGUAGCAUUAUCAUAUAUUGAACUUGACUCGGAGCAUGUUGGUGAAUAGUAAAAUUAAAACCAAUACGGAACUUCACGUUAAGAAGAAAGAGAGAAAAUAUGAAAUAGAAAAAGAAAAUGGGAAAUUAAUAGAAAAAUUUUAAUUUUGAACUUUCAACUUUUACUUUCAAUUUUAAUAUUGGUGGUACCGCGGGUAAAAAACUCGUCCUAUAU